UACGAAGGGGGCUAGCGUUGCUCGGAAUUACUGGGCGUAAAGCGCACGUAGGCGGCUUCUUAAGUCGGUGGUGAAAUCCUGGAGCUCAACUCCAGAACUGCCUUCGAUACUGGGAAGCUCGAGUCCGGGAGAGGUGAGUGGAACUGCGAGUGUAGAGGUGAAAUUCGUAGAUAUUCGCAAGAACACCAGUGGCGAAGGCGGCUCACUGGCCCGGUACUGACGCUGAUGUGCGAAAGCGUGGGGAGCAAACAGG
rnacentral:rRNA from 1 species